CCCUUAGAUGUUCUGGGCGGCCCGCGCACUACAUUGGCACUCUCAAUAAGUUCCUAGAUCUAAAGCUUUGGGGUAUUCUAUUAAGUGGUGUCGUGACUGGGAUUAACCCUUGCAAUUAUUGGUUACGAACGAGGAAUUCCUUGUAAUCGCGGUUUAUCAGCCCGCGUUGAAUGCGUCCCUGCCCUUUGUACACACCGCCCGUCGCUCCUACCGAUGAAUCGUCCGGUGAAGUUCAUGGAGUGGUGGUUGUUCCAGCUGCUGUCGAAGUGAAAUGGACCUCACGAUUUAGAGGAAGGAGAAGUCGUAACA
rnacentral:rRNA from 1 species